AAUAAUACAUUGUGAUAUCAAUAUCCUGGCAGUUAACACCCAUCCAUUCACACAUUUAAGAUGCUCUUCCUAUAAAUGUUGAGGAAAGCAUCCAGAACUUCACCAUUCGUUGGCACUUGGAUCGAAUCACGAUGAAGUACACACUACUGCUCAUUCUGUUGGUGGCGAUCACCAUCAACCACCAGACAGAGGGAUGGAGGCUCAGGUGGAGGUGGCGAAAAGCCGCCGCCAUAGCAAACAUAUUAGCCGGCAACGGCAAGCGAGCUCUUACUAUCUGAAUAUUGAGAACUGACUGCUUAUGAGACGCCAUCUGUCUAGACAAUAAUAAAAUUUGCAACACAAAA